GGGCACUGAGGAAACGCUGGGGCACUCAGGAUACCAAGGGGCACUCAGCACACCAGGGAGUGCUCAGAACCACCAGGGGGCGCUGAGGAAACCCUGGGGCACUCAGCACAUCAGGGGGCGCUCAGAACCACCAGGGGGCGCUCAGGACAAUAGGGAGUGCUCAGAACCACCAGGGGGCGCUCAGCACACCAGGGGGCGCUCAGAACCACCAGGGGGCGCUGAGGAAACCCUGGGGCACUCAGCACAUCAGGGGGCGCUCAGAACCACCAGGGGGCGCUCAGGACAAUAGGGAGUGCUCAGAACCACCAGGGGGCGCUCAGGACACCAGGGGGUGCUCAGAACCACCAGGGGUCGCUCAGGACAAUAGGGAGUGCUCAGAACCACCAGGGGGUGCUGAGGAAACCCUGGGACACUCAGGACACCAGGGGGCACUCAGCACACCAGGGGGCACUCAGAACCACGAGGGGGCGCUCAGGACACCAGGGGGCGCUCAGAACCACCAGGGGGCGCUCAGGACAAUAGGGAGUGCUCAGAACCACCAGGGGGCGCUCAGAACCACCAGGGGUCGCUCAGGACAAUAGGGAGUGCUCAGAACCACCAGGGGGCGCUCAGAACCACCAGGGGGCGCUCAGGACACCAGGGGGCGCUCAGAACCACCAGGGGGCGCUCAGGACAAUAGGGAGUGCUCCGAACCACCAGGGGGCGCUCAGGACACCAGGGGGCGCUCAGAACCACCAGGUGGCGCUCAGCACACCAGGGGACGCUCAGAACCACCAGGGGGCGCUCAGGACAAUAGGGAGUGCUCAGAACCACCAGGGGGUGCUGAGGAAACCCUGGGGCACUCAGGACACCAGGGGGCACUCAGCACACCAGGGGGCGCUCAGAACCACCAGGGGGCGCUCAGGACAAUAGGGAAUGAUCAGAACCACCAGGGGGCGCUCAGGACAAUAGGGAAUGAUCAGAACCACCAGGGGGCGCUGAGGAAACCCUGGGGCACUCAGGACACCAGGGGGCACUCAGCACACCAGGGGGCGCUCAGAACCACCAGGGGGCGCUCAGGACAAUAGGGAUGAUCAGAACCACCAGGGGGCGCUGAGGAAACCCUGGGGCACUCAGCACACCAGGGGGCGCACAGAACCACCAGGGGGCGCUCAGGACACCAGGGGGCGCUCAAAACCACCAGGGGGCGCUCAGGACAAUAGGGAGUGCUCAGAACCACCAGGGGGCGCUCAGAACCACCAGGGGGCGCUCAGCACACCAGUGGGCGCUCAGAACCACCAGAGGAAACGCUGGGGCACUCAGGACACCAGGGGGCACUCGGCACACCAGGGGCGCUCAGAACCACCAGAGGAAACGCUGGGGCACUCAGGACACCAGGGGGCACUCAGCACACCAGGGGGCGCUCAGAACCACCAGGGGGCGCUGAGGAAGCCCUGGGGCACUCAGCACACUAGGGGGUCCUCAAAACCACCAGGGGGCGCUCAGGACACCAGGGGGCGCUCAGAGCCACCAGGGGGCGCUCAGGACAAUAGAGAAUGCUCAGAACCACCAGGGGGCGCUCAGAACAACCAGGGGGCGCUCAGCACACCAGGGGGCGCUCAGAACCACCAGGGGGCGCUCAGGACAAUAGGGAGUGCUCAGAACCACCAGGGGGCGCUCAGCACACCAGGGGGCGCUCAGACUCACCAGGGAGCUCAGAAACACCCGGGGGCUGGUGUAGGGAGCUCAGGACAGCAAGGGGCCUGCUCAGAUCAGCAGGGGGAACUCAGGACACCAGGGGGCGUUCAGAACCACCAGGGGGUGCUCAGGACAAUAGGGGGUGCUCAGAACCACCAGGAAACACUCAGUACAGCCGGGGGCGCUCAGACACAAGGGCUCCCUUAGGAGGCAGCUCCACAUUAGGUCCCUGCGGAGGGUGGGGUUUCCUGUUUGAACUUGCUAUUUUUUGACCUUGUAAAGAAAAGUUCUACCCCAGGAUCUCUUAGCACUUCUUCCUUGUAACUCACAUUUUGUCUUGUUUCAUUUUUUGGUUUUGGUCACCUACAAAAACUUAACCUUAGAACAGAGAUUCAACUCAAUUUAUAAUCCUCCAUAUUAUCACAGUAAUACUAGUGAUGACUGAUCAGUAUAAUUUUAAUAAUAAGAAUUGUGUAUCCUCAAUCCAAACUGUAUUUUCAUGCAAAGGUUUUUGUUUUCUUAGUUGUGUCAGCCACACAACUAUAAAUGCUUUUCUAUCAAUAACUCAGUAUAUGCAUGGUGUUGACUUUCUUUUACUUUCCUCAGCUGCUUAUGGAGCUGAAACACCACUUUAAGACCGGUUUUAUCUCUUUUGGUUGUUCCUGGUGAUCUGCUCCUCAGACUAUUCAUCCUCCUUCUCUUCUUCUGUCAAAGCCUUUUAUUUUCUUCAGUCUUUGUGUAAGGAAGCAGUAAGUGCCUUUCCUUUAUCUCUUCUAUAUCUGGGGUAUCAGUUCGCUUCUGAUGGUCAGUGCAACCAAUCAUGUUUACAAUGUUAAUAGUUCUUUUUAGAAGAUACGUAUUCAACUUCAGUCUCUCUUCCUUUCUCACUAUUUUCUAGGGUCCUGCAGACAUCACCCCUAUCCCACUUUGUUUUAAUCUGUUUCUGUUGACCCCAACAGUACCCAUAGAACACACGUUUAGGUAGAUUUGACUCCUGAAAAUAGUGGAGGAGGAUUCCAUAAUUCAGCAGUGCCUCCUGUUCUUCUCCUCAAGUAAACACAAAAGGACAGCAGUGGGGAAAUUGUGAAUUUUCCCCAAUCCUGUGGAAACAGCCAACAAGCACUAGGAACUUCACACUCUAACACCAUUAGCACAUAAAUCCUCAAGUAACAUAUUAAAAUUUCCAGGUUAGUCUUUUUCUAUCAGAAAUGCCAUCCAGUGGCAACAACCCAUAAUAUAUGGGUCUGGGUUAAAGAUGAAAGUGUGACAAUGCGCAGACUCUGUCUGAGGAGGAGAACACAGGGAAACUGAAAGUCAGUGGCAGAGAAUAAGACAAGGACAGUGGGGAAAUUUGAAGCCUCUGACGUACAUUUUUGGAACAAAAGGUCUUGGCAAAUCUGUUGACCUCAGAUUCUUUUAUCAUUGGGCAUUUUCAGGGUUCCUAGCUGAGAAAAAAAAUGCAUAAAACAAAGUGGGAUGGGGUGAUGUCUGCAGGACCCUAGAAAACAGUGAGGAAGGGAGAGAGACUGAAGUUGAAUAAGUAUCUUCUAAAAAGAACUAUUAACAUUGUAAAUAUGAUUGCAUGCACUUCCCAAAUCUCCACCUGUGUUCUGUUUGCCUCAGAUCUCUAAGAGAAAAAAGCCAUAAACCUAGGCCUUGUGUCUGUGUAGGAGGCUCAUUUUAUAGGCUAGAAAUUAGGAGGAAAGGAAAAUAUGUGUUAUUGGUACAGUAGAUACAGAGUUGGCUUUAUUCUGAAUGUAUCUGCACCCGCGGAUGUUCUCAGAUGCAACAUUCAACUGCAAGAGCCCAACGAAGAAACAAGGCACUCCCCAAAUCCUACAAGUUUUUGUAUUCACUGUGUGUUCACUGACUCAGGAAAUGUGAAACUUCAUAGAAGGGACUCCCUUCUGUGUCAUAGAAUCUUUGCUUCGGGUCUCCCUGUAGAGUUCAAUAGGUUUAUUAAGGCUAACCAAUUCUUAUAAGACGUGGUGUCAACAGUAUAUUGUGUCACUGAAGGAGUGACACAGCACGACACAGACACUCCAUGGUGGGCUGGAGACUGUGGGGAAAAAUGUCUGUGAGCCACCACGGCAACCUCACUGCAAGGCAAGGGCUUGGCUGGAGAGGGCACUCGGGAGCCACCAAGCACAGGUUCCAGCCCCAGAGCAGGUGCACAGGAGGUUGGAGAGAAGGCUCAGGGCCUGGGUCUUCCUUUGUCAGAAAAAAAACAAUCUAAAAUAACUCUUCAAUAGGUCACUGACGUGCCUUUAAAUGUCCUGCUACAUCCAAAACAUUCAUAUAACUUAAGGAAAUGAAAACUAUUUUUAAAGUGGGUUUCUAGGACUAUAAUAUCAUAAUAGUGAGACUAUAAAGGAAGGGCAUGUUAUUACUAAUUCAAAGGGUACAGACUAGUUGAAGAAACUAUAUUCCAAUAAAUAAGAAAUUCAUAGGAAUUUCAGACUUCAGUUUUAAGUAAUGUUGCCUGUGUUGUGUGAGUGACAGGGCAGUGGUGGAUCUGAGAGUGUGGCAGGUGCACAGACCUAGUGAGUCAGAAAUCAAUAUAUAAAGAUGAGGAUCUAUGGAUAUGAACUGGAAAUAUUUAAAUACUUCAUGAAAAUCUAAUAAACGGAGUUCAAAAAACAUAAGCCAAAAUUAUGGAGAACACAAAUUAGAGAGUUCAUAAAGAACUUCAAACUCCUGCUACAUCUUCUGAUUCCCAUGGUCCAUGAAAUGAGAAAAUCAGCUCUAAUUAUGCAUCACAGGGCCAAUCUGUAAACCAAGAGUGUUUCUCUUGAAGAGCCUGGGGGAUCAGACACCAGGCAGGUGCUGGAGACACUGUUUCCAGAGCACACAGCAGAUCUCAGGGCCUGCUGGACACUCAAGUGGGACAUCAGCAGUAACUUUCUGAGAGUCACCAGUGAGCUGUGCUGGUACCUGAUGGGUCCAGGAAAAGACCAAGGCACCUUCUCAGUGUCAUGGAGAAUGAUGGUCCCAAAAAUGAUCCAGGUGGUCUCUAUGCUAAUCAAAUGCAGGUUUGCAGUGAGGAGCCUGUUCUAUCUGGGCUUAUUCUUUAGUGAAAGGACCUCUGCCCACAAAUGUUUGUAAAUGGAGCAGGGUGUGCAUUUCCUCCAGCAGGAUUAGGGCUUGGACCAUCAGCAUCUCACUCUUGUGUAGCUGAUGUGUCACUUAUCUUCCCUUUCUUAUCAUGGAUCAGGCUUUGAGCUAUGAAAUGCUCUGUCUUAUGAAUAUGCAAAUAUGCUGAUAUCCACUGCAGUAAAUAUGUUCUGUGCUCUGAGAACAUCACUCAACAACUGCAUCCAACCUCAAGAGAAGCCCCUGAGAGCACAGUUUCUCACCAUGGACUUGACCUGGAAGAUCCUCCUCUUGGUGACAGCAGCCACAGGUAAGGGGUCCCCAGGUCUCAUUCUUGAGAAGCGAAUUGAGUCCAGUCAAGGGGACGUUCAUCCACUCCUGUCUUCUCUCCACAGGUGCCCACUCCCAGGUGCAGCUGGUGCAGUCUGGGGCUGAGAUUAAGCAGCCUGGGGCCUCAGUGAAGCUCUCCUGCAAGGCUUCUGGAUAUACCUUCACUAGCUACUACAUGCACUGGGUGAGACAGGCCCCUGGACAAGGCCUUGAGUGGAUAGGACUGAUCUCCCCUUACAAUGGUAACAAAGGCUACGCACAGAACUUCCAGGGCAGAGUCACCAUAACUACGGACACGUCCACGAGCACAGGCUACAUGGAGCUGAGCAGCCUGAGAUCUGAGGACACAGCCGUGUAUUACUGUACGAGAGACACAGUGUGAAAACCACAUCCUGAGAGUGUCAGAAACCCCAGGAAGGAGGCAGCUGUGCUGGCAUGGAGGAGAUGACAAAGAUUAUUAGAUUGAAGACUUUCUUAGAAAAUGACAUUAAGACAUUAAAGAAAAUGACCAAUAUCAAUGUGUAUUUGAGAAAUUUCAGUUAUUUGAGAUACUUAUCAUACAAAAUUUAUUCUGUAAGUAAAUUUCAGGGAUUGGAGAAUGAAUAAAAUUAACAAAUCUGAUACAGAACUUCCUCUGAAUCAAUCUUUGCAAACAUCAAUUUCUGAAUCAAUGUUGGAAAUAUUUUGAAACACAAAAGCAAGUUCACAUUUUAACUCUUUUAUCUCUAGUUAAGAAAUGCCAAAAAAUCUCAUGUUGUGCAUGUAACAUUUUGAAUUCCCACCGACAGUGCAUGAAAUUUCUUGGUUUUCCACAUUCAUAUUGCCAUUUAUCAUCAUGAGAAUUGUGAGUUUUAACCAUGUUAAUAGGUGAGUAGUGAUACCUAAUUUUUAUUUAAGUGCACAUGUCCCUAAUAAAAAAUUGUAUUUAACAAUUUUUAUAUAAUUUUUGGUGAGAUGGCUCUCCUGAUAGGUGGUUCAUUUUUGACUGCAUUGUUUUCUUUUGAUUAGUUGUAAGUUUACUUGUAUGUUGAUUAUAAAAGUCAUUUAACAAAUUAAAAUAAUUCAUUUAACAAAUAUGUGACUUGGAAGUAUUUUCUCCAAGUUUGUGGUUGCUUUUUACUCCCUUAUCGGUGGGUAUUGCAGAAAAAUAUGUGUGUGUGUGUGUGUGUGUGUGCACAAAUUUAGAUAAAAAACAUAAAAAAAUUAUUCAUUCAUAGAUCAUGUAUUUGGCAUUAUAUCUGGAGUCUCCUUAUAAAAUACACUAAUACUGAUUAUUUUUUACCAUGUCUCUUAUCUCAAUCAUGAGUGUUUAAACUUCACCUACUCCUCCAAUCAAGGAGGACUCUCCACCGGAGAUAUUUGGAACACUUCUGUAAGGAGAUGUGUUCUUCCCAUUAUUUCUUUACUUAAUCAUCUAUUAAUAUCCUUAUUGGUUUAUGGAUGUCUAUUUCAUAAUCUGAAGAAGAUCCAUGCUGCAUUAUUCAUUUUAGUGUUCAAAUCACCACAGCUUUGUUAGGUGCUGGGAGCUGAAUUAUUUUGGAUCCUGCAUCCUUACAGCACAGCUCAUCCUUUUGUUUUUGAACACUUCCCUGUUUCCUGGUGUUACAAUAGAUUCUAAGCUUAUUUUCUAUGUUACCUUUUUUUUGCACAUAGAAUCAGCCAUUUUUCCAAAGAUUGCUUGUUUCUAAUUUU
ensembl:lncRNA